rnacentral:rRNA from 1 species
UACGGAGGAUCCAAGCGUUAUCCGGAUUUAUUGGGUUUAAAGGGUGCGUAGGCGGCUUUGUAAGUCAGUGGUGAAAGCCUUCAGCUUAACUGGAGAAAUGCCAUUGAUACUGCAGGGCUUGAGUACAGAUGAAGUGGGCGGAAUGUGUCAAGUAGCGGUGAAAUGCAUAGAUAUGACACAGAACACCGAUUGCGAAGGCAGCUCACUAAGGUGUAACUGACGCUGAGGCACGAAAGCGUGGGGAUCAAACAGG